rnacentral:rRNA from 1 species
GUGGCCAGCCGCCGCGGUAAUACCGGCAGCUCAAGUGAUGUCCCAUAUUAUUGGGCCUAAAGCGUCCGUAGCUGGCUGCGCAAGUCCGUCGGGAAAUCCACUCGCCCAACGAGUGGGCGUCCGACGGAAACUGCACAGCUUGGGACCGGAAGGCUCGAAGGGUACGUUCGGGGUAGGAGUGAAAUCCUAUAAUCCCGCACGGACCACCGAUGGCGAAUGCACUUCGAGAAAACGGAUCCGACAGUGAGGGACGAAAGCCAGGGUCUCCAACCGGAUUAGAAACCCUGGUAGUCC